UACAGAGACUGCAAGCGUUAUUCGGAUUCACUGGGCGUAAAGGGUGCGCAGGCGGCCAAGUGUGUCAGGUGUGAAAUCCCGAGGCUUAACCUCGGAACUGCGCCUGAAACUACUUGGCUAGAGUACUGGAGAGGGUAACGGAAUUCACGGUGUAGCAGUGAAAUGCGUAGAUAUCCCCAAGAACACCAGUUGCGAAGGCGGCUGACUGGACACAUAUUGACGCUGAGGCUCGAAAGCAUGGGGAGCAAACAGG
rnacentral:rRNA from 1 species